rnacentral:lncRNA from 1 species
GAUACUUAAUUAAUUAAUUAGUUAGUUAAUGAAUUAGAAGCACGGGACUAGAGUCUUGACAUGCAGAGUGCUCGGAUCGAAGGAAGAUGCCAGGCAGCAUUGCAAAUAUGGGGCUGAGGCAUGCCCUGCGUGCUCGAGUCUCAGAUCCCAGCUGGCAUCCAAGACAUCCAGCCCCCGCGUGCCCUGCGCACUCGAACCUUAGGUCCCAAUUGGCAUCCAAGGUGCACUC